CACUAUGCGAUAGCGUAGGUUUCGGCG
rnacentral:sRNA from 1 species